rnacentral:rRNA from 1 species
ACGCGAAGAACCUUACCUACUCUUGACAUCCAGAGAACUUAGCAGAGAUGCUUUGGUGCCUUCGGGAACUCUGAGACAGGUGCUGCAUGGCUGUCGUCAGCUCGUGUUGUGAAAUGUUGGGUUAAGUCCCGCAACGAGCGCAACCCUUAUCCUUUGUUGCCAGCGAUUCGGUCGGGAACUCAAAGGAGACUGCCGGUGAUAAACCGGAGGAAGGUGGGGAUGACGUCAAGUCAUCAUGGCCCUUACGAGUAGGGCUACACACGUGCUACAAUGGCGUAUACAAAGAGAAGCGACCUCGCGAGAGCAAGCGGAACUCAUAAAGUACGUCGUAGUCCGGAUUGGAGUCUGCAACUCGACUCCAUGAAGUCGGAAUCGCUAGUAAUCGUAGAUCAGAAUGCUACGGUGAAUACGUUCCCGGGCCUUGUACACACC